GGGCAGCCCAUGCCUGGAUUUUUUGGUGAAUGAGUCUGAAAAGCAGUGACCAGGUGUGUUGAGGGCCUCCCCUUGCCUGCACCUUUUUAUCUCUGAGUGACUGAGGGCUGCCAAGGCCAGACAACGCACAUGUGUCCUGGAUCCUCCCCUGGCCUGGGGCAGCAGCAGCAGCAGCAGCUGGGCUUGGGGUGAGUAGGCUGGCUUGAGGAAGGGGCUGCCCACAAGCAGGGCUCAUUUCCUGGGUCAGGGCCUGUCAGACUCAAAGUCAGCUCUUCAGCAUUCUGUUUAGAAAAUGAUGAUGCAGUUCAGUGAGAAAGAAAGCUCAGGAUAAAAUAUGUUUUCUGGAGGGGAAAUACUCAAGUGUUCUAAGCCAGGAACAGAGACUCUCAAGAGAGGAAUUCUCUGGCAUUCUCUGCCUUGGAUAAAUCAUGGAUUAAACAUGAGCAUCCUUAGAAUAAUUUUAUUUUUGUAUUUCACUUUACACUGUAAUGCAAACAGCUUUUAUGUUUUCUUUGACGAAGAAUCAUAAUUGAGUCACUUUAGGUCUUUUAGCUGGAAGCAUUUCACCCUAAAUGAAAAGUUAAUGCAUUUUUUACAAGGAUUAACAUGCUAACUACAACUUGCCCUUUCAGCAGAUGACAAUAAGGGAUUCUGAAAAGUUUGGACUGUCUUUUUCUUUUUGUAUACAAAUAAAGCAGCAGAUCCUUUCUCUGUGAAGGUUGUUGCAGAGCUCCCGUACCAGCUUAUAAAAUGCGGCUGUUUAAGCAGGACUUGGGUGGGCAGCAGAAUUCUGCACAUGACGAGUGGCUGCAGCUUAGAAAGCAAAUUUCAUCUGAUUCCAGUACUGUGAUUUUAAGGAAACGGUAAAACUCAAAGUGCCAGUAAUGCCAUCAAGGCUCAGUAACAUGCCAUUUCCUCAGCAGCUAAAGACAAAAAGAAUUAUUUUGGUGAGGGGAUAGAAAUCCUUUCGCUUUGCAGUGACACCCACUUUUUCUUAGCUUGGCUUGGGAGUAAGGAGAUUGGAGUGUGGGGGGACAUUAGAAACUCAUUUAAGGCAAACUGAAAUCUCCUUCAUCAGCAGUCUUCCUGCUGGUGUAGCCACAGCAGAACUCCGAGGCUUGCAGGCUGGGCUGUCUCCUUGCUGCCUGGCUUGGGUGUUUAUUUGGGCAAUGCAAGCUGACAUUGUGAGGUGUUGCCGAUGCCCAGGCCAGCUAGCAGGGAGCCCUCCCAGGGCUGGUAGAAACCUAUGUGUAUAUAUAUUCUCAAAUUUAAAUAGAUUGUACAUAGUGAAAUGUAAAUGACAUGUAAAACAGCAAUCUCUAUUUUUCUUAACUAUUAUAUAGCAGUAUAUAUUUGUUGAACAUGCUUGUAUACUCUUCAUUAACCAUUUUAAUAUUUUGUACAGAUAAGUUGAUUAAAUAUUUUAUUCAUAAAACC
rnacentral:lncRNA from 10 species